AUGAUCGUUGCCACCACCAACAAGUUCACCGUCCUCAAGAAGCUCGGGGACGACAUCGCCAUACUCCUCCAGCCUGUGCGCCCGGGCUCCUCAUUGCCUGCCACCCUAAUCGGCCUCCAUGUCCGGAACCUCUUUCAAGCACUGGUGGCCCUGCGGCUGCCAGCCGACGCCAUGAAGGAUGUCCACCUGGAGGUCGCGCUCGCCGCGAGGUGCCUCGCCCUCCAAGAAUUCAUCGACCUACACAUCCACAAGUACGAGCAAAUCGUGUACAUAUGUAUAUACAAGGACAUUGAGGAAAGUACGACGUUGGCCUUCCUCAUCCGGCUAGAAGCCUUGGAUGCCUUUGCUGAGAAGCACCUUGACCUCGCCACAAAAGCCGCCGCUCCUUAG
rnacentral:rRNA from 1 species